GAUGGAUAAUCGGUUAAUAUUCCGAUACUGACAUAUACCUCGAUGGAGAGACGAAGGAACGUAAGUGCCGCCACCUGACGGAAUAGGUGGUUAAAGGGCUUAGGUAUAGGGACAGAUUAAGAGUUAGUCCUUGCUGAAACCUGACAGUACAGAGAGCCUACGGGCAAUUUGAUAGUGCACCCAAGUCGACUUCCGAGAAAAUCUUCUAAGUUAUAGUAUAUGUCACCCGUACCGUAAACCGACACAGGUGGUCGAGGAGAGUAUCCUAAGGUGCUCGAGUGAAUCACGGUUAAGGAACUAGGCAAAUUAACCCCGUAACUUCGGGAAAAGGGGUCCCAUCGCGAGGUGGGCGCAGCGAAGAGGUCCAGGCGACUGUUUAUCAAAAACACAGGGCUCUGCAAAUUCGAAAGAAGACGUAUAGGGCCUGACACCUGCCCGGUGCUGGAAGGUUAAGAGGGGAUGUCAUCGCAAGAGAAGCAUUGAAUCGAAGCCCCAGUAAACGGCGGCCGUAACUAUAACGGUCCUAAGGUAGCGAAAUUCCUUGUCGGGUAAGUUCCGACCUGCACGAAUGGUGUAACGAUCUGGACACUGUCUCAACCGUGAGCUCGGUGAAAUUGUAGUCCCGGUGAUGAUGCCGGGUACCCGCAACGGGACGAAAAGACCCCGUGAACCUUUACUAUAGCUUAACGCUGAAUUUGGGUACACAAUGUGUAGGAUAGGCAGGAGACUACGAAGCGGGCACGCCAGUGUUCGUGGAGUCGACGUUGAAAUACUGCCCUUUGUGUACUUGAGUUCUAACCCUCGAGAGGGGACACCGUUUGGUGGGUAGUUUGACUGGGGUGGUCGCCUCCAAAAGAGUAACGGAGGCUUCCCAAGGUACCCUCAGCACGAAUGGUAACCGUGCGUAGAGUGCAAUAGCAUAAGGGUGCUUGACUGUGAGACCAACAAGUCGAUCAGGUGCGAAAGCAGGGUAUAGUGAUCCGGUGGUUCUGCGUGGACUGGCCAUCGCUCAAAGGAUAAAAGGUACUCCGGGGAUAACAGGCUGAUC
rnacentral:rRNA from 1 species